rnacentral:rRNA from 1 species
ACUAGUGAUUUCCGUAGGUGAACCUGCGGAAGGAUCAUUAACGCGAUAUCCAAACCUACUCAACCAAGCCAAUAAGUUGCAGCGAAAGUUGCAGCCUACAAAACUAACCAAAAGAAGCUUAACUAAGCUGAACCAAAAACAAAUCCUCAACGAUGGAUAUCUAGGUUCCUACAACGAUGAAGAACGCAGCGAAGUGCGAUAAGCAAUGCGAAUUGCAGAACCGUGAGUCAUCAGAUUUUUGAACGCAACUGGCACCGAGGGGGCUCCCCUCGGUAUGCUUGUUUCAGCAUGUCAUUAUCUCCUCACCCAAAUCAUAAUGUGAUAGAUGCCCUUCUAUCGCUAAAUACGCAAGCACUCUGCUCUUUGCAGUGACUUAAUUGUCACACUCAAUGCAGACGUCACAUUUUACAGUGUGAACUCAUUGAUGGUGAAGACAGCGUAGUGAAAGCUACAAGUGCUUAGACACAUUAAUUUUUUCAACAUCUGAAGCAAGUAGGACCACCCGCUGAACUUAAGCAUAUCAAUAAGCGGAGG